CUGCUCCUUUUUUUUUUUCCUCUCCACAAUGCCUGCUGAAGCAAUAUCUUAAGAAAGACAAGAUAAGCAAUACCUUUUCUAAGAGAAAAUAUUCUUGAAAUCUGGCAAAUUCUGCUGUGUUACUUUUAAAAACAAACAUUUCUCAGUGCAGGCUUGUCCACCUCUCUUGGAAAGUGUACAUCCUCUGACAUGAUGCAUUGUGAUAUAUUGAUGUGCUUAGAUAAUGACUGAUCUGACAGCACCCUCCAGGCACAAGAUUUUCCCUUGACGGGGAUGAGCUGCCAUCGUGCACUGUUAGAGGAAAUCAGAGAACACCAGGCCCACUGGUACGGACCCAGCUGGCAUGGGUCAAAUUCAGGCACCAGGUCAUAACUGCAAGAACUGAUCACUGUAAGAUGUGGAAAGAAGUGUCUGGAGCUGGAAAAAGAGUUCAGUUUGGGGGCUGGGCAGUGUUUUUACUUUAGUUUAGUUUUUUUUGUUGUUGUUAUUUUUAAGGGAGUAGAAUCAGUGGAACUACAUUUAUUUUAUUGGAAAGUAGUAACUGCAAUAAGCAGUGUCCCACUUGAAGAAGAUGGUAGCAUUUUGGAAAUGUAAGAUGAAGAUGUGAGGGCCACGUGAUUUGUACUAGUUGCUAAUUAACCAGUUUUGAGCAGAGUUUUGAAAGGUAGUUUGAGGUUUAGAAGCCUAAAUAGCUCAUCUGUUCCCUCCCUUUCUUUUGUGUUUCUUUACAGUUCCGAGGCUUAUGUCAUAUAUACAUGUAACCUGCAGCACCCUUCCUUACCAUGAAUGCAGAUCAACAGACCUUGGUUGUUGUGGGCUGUACAGCAAGGGGCACGUCCCACAGGCCGGUCCCUGCCAACGUUCUUCUCUGCACAGCACCAAAAGGAAAAGAACUGCAUGCGAGGAGGUGGAGGACAGAUCGGUACCAGCAGUUGCUGUUGAUUACAAAAUGCACAUACUGUAACCCACAGCAAUUCGUCCAUGCAGCAGCAUCACUGGAAACAUU
rnacentral:lncRNA from 1 species